rnacentral:tRNA from 1 species
UAGUAAACAAAAUGUAUAUCUUGAAAAUAUAAAUAAAGAACCAUAAAAUUUCUAUUUACUUU